AUUGAACGCUGGCGGCAUGCUUUACACAUGCAAGUCGGACGGCAGCACAGAGAAGCUUGCUUCUUGGGUGGCGAGUGGCGAACGGGUGAGUAAUAUAUCGGAACGUACCGAGUAAUGGGGGAUAACUAAUCGAAAGAUUAGCUAAUACCGCAUAUUCUCUGAGGAGGAAAGCAGGGGACCUUCGGGCCUUGCGUUAUUCGAGCGGCCGAUAUCUGAUUAGCUAGUUGGUGGGGUAAAGGCCUACCAAGGCGACGAUCAGUAGCGGGUCUGAGAGGAUGAUCCGCCACACUGGGACUGAGACACGGCCCAGACUCCUACGGGAGGCAGCAGUGGGGAAUUUUGGACAAUGGGCGCAAGCCUGAUCCAGCCAUGCCGCGAGUCUGAAGAAGGCCUUCGGGUUGUAAAGGACUUUUGUCAGGGAAGAAAAGGCUGUUGCUAAUAUCGACAGCUGAUGACGGUACCUGAAGAAUAAGCACCGGCUAACUACGUG
rnacentral:rRNA from 1 species